CUUGACCGAGCCGAGCAGCAGCGGCUGGUCCCGGUCCUGGCCGUAGGUGGCCAGCAGUGCCUGCGCCUC
rnacentral:antisense_RNA from 1 species